UACGUAGGUGGCAAGCGUUGUCCGGAUUUAUUGGGCGUAAAGCGCGCGCAGGCGGUUUCUUAAGUCUGAUGGGAAAGCCCUCGGCUUAACCGAGGAGGGUCAUUGGAAACUGGGAGACUUGAGUGCAGAAGAGGAAAGUGGAAUUCCAAGUGUAGCGGUGAAAUGCGUAGAGAUUUGGAGGAACACCAGUGGCGAAGGCGACUUUCUGGUCUGUAACUGACGCUGAGGCGCGAAAGCGUGGGGAGCAAACAGG
rnacentral:rRNA from 1 species